rnacentral:rRNA from 1 species
AGCGGCGGAUGGGUGAGUAACACGUGGGGAACCUGCCCCUAAGUCUGGGAUACCAUUUGGAAACAGGUGCUAAUACCGGAUAAUAAAGCAGAUCGCAUGAUCAGCUUUUGAAAGGCGGCGUAAGCUGUCGCUAAGGGAUGGCCCCGCGGUGCAUUAGCUAGUUGGUAAGGUAACGGCUUACCAAGGCGACGAUGCAUAGCCGAGUUGAGAGACUGAUCGGCCACAUUGGGACUGAGACACGGCCCAAACUCCUACGGGAGGCAGCAGUAGGGAAUCUUCCACAAUGGACGCAAGUCUGAUGGAGCAACGCCGCGUGAGUGAAGAAGGUUUUCGGAUCGUAAAGCUCUGUUGUUGGUGAAGAAGGAUAGAGGUAGUAUCUGGCCUUUAUUUGACGGUAAUCAACCAGAAAGUCACGGCUAACUACGUGCCAGCAGCCGCGGUAAUACGUAGGUGGCAAGCGUUGUCCGGAUUUAUUGGGCGUAAAGCGAGCGCAGGCGGAAAAAUAAGUCUAAUGUGAAAGCCCUCGGCUUAACCGAGGAACUGCAUCGGAAACUGUUUUUCUUGAGUGCAGAAGAGGAGAGUGGAACUCCAUGUGUAGCGGUGGAAUGCGUAGAUAUAUGGAAGAACACCAGUGGCGAAGGCGGCUCUCUGGUCUGCAACUGACGCUGAGGCUCGAAAGCAUGGGUAGCGAACAGGAUUAGAUACCCUGGUAGUCCAUGCCGUAAACGAUGAGUGCUAAGUGU